GCCAGGGUAGCUCAGGGGUUAGAGCGGAGGUUUCAUAAGCCUUAGGUCGGGGGUUCGAUCCCCCCCCCUGGCA
rnacentral:tRNA from 1 species